AUUGAACGCUGGCGGCAUGCCUUACACAUGCAAGUCGAACGGCAGCACGGGAGCAAUCCUGGUGGCGAGUGGCGAACGGGUGAGUAAUACAUCGGAACGUGCCCAGUAAUGGGGGACAACUAGUUGAAAGAUUAGCUAAUACCGCAUACGACCUACGGGUGAAAGCAGGGGAUCGCAAGACCUUGCGUUAUUGGAGCGGCCGAUGUCAGAUUAGCUUGUUGGUGAGGUAAAAGCUCACCAAGGCGACGAUCUGUAGCUGGUCUGAGAGGACGACCAGCCGCACUGGAACUGAGACACGGUCCAGACUCCUACGGGAGGCAGCAGUGGGGAAUUUUGGACAAUGGGCGAAAGCCUGAUCCAGCCAUGCCGCGUGUGGGAAGAAGGCCUCGGUUGUAACCACUUUGUUCGGGACGAAACGGUACUGUGAUAACACCACUGGGCGUAAUGACGGUACCCGAACGGAAUAAGCACCGGCCUAACUAACCGUGCCAGCAGCCGACC
rnacentral:rRNA from 1 species